rnacentral:lncRNA from 1 species
GAGAGAGAGAGAGAGAGAGAGAGAGAGAGAGAGAGAGUGAGAGUCCGGCUACUAUACUCUUAUGAGUAUAGAGCCUUUUGUACUCAUAAGUUUUUGGCCGUUAGAUUUACCCUUUAAUCAUUUUCAUCCGUUAGAUUAUACUAUUCAACCAACCACCCACUCAACCCUAGGAGGCCCACUAUCAACCUAACCGUAAGUACUUUCAUCCUAACCGCAUAUUUUUUCAUCUGAUCGGCUGAAAACUUAUGAGUACAAAGGGCUCUAUACUCAUAUAAGUAUAGUAGCCCCAGCCUAUAUAUAUAUAUAUAUAUAUAUAUAAA